rnacentral:sRNA from 1 species
GCUGGGUGUGGUGGUGCACACCUGUGGUCCCAGCACUCAGGAGGCUGAGGCAGGAGGAUGGCUUGAGCCAAGGAGUUUAAGACCAACAUGGGCCACAGAGUGAGACCCUGUCUCAA